rnacentral:lncRNA from 1 species
AGUGGGCGUGCAGGAGAAGCUGUAGGUCAGGAGGUAGAGUUGGCAGUGGGCGUGCAGGAGAAGCUGUAGGUCGGAGAGGUAGAGUUGGCAGUGGGCGUGCAGGAGAAGCUGUAGGUCGGAGAGGUAGAGGUGGCAGUGGGCGUGCAGGAGAAGCUGUAGGUCGGGAGGUAGAGGUGGCAGUGGGCGUGCAGGAGAAGCUGUAGGUCAGAGAGGUAGAGGUGGCAGUGGGCGUGCAGGAGAAGGUGUAGGUCAGGGGGUAGAGGUGGCAGUGGGCGUGCAGGAGAAGCUGUAGGUCGGGAGGUAGAGGUGGCAGUGGGCGUGCAGGAGAAGCUGUAGGUCAGGGGGUAGAGGUGGCAGUGGGCGUGCAGGAGAAGCUGUAGGUC